GGGGGGGGGGGGGGGGGGGGGGGGGGGGGGGGGGGGGGGGGGAGGGGCGGGGGGGUUGCUGCGCGGACGGGAGCGGCGGGCGGGUGAGUGACGCGUGGGUACCCUGCCUGUAGGACUGGGAUGACGUCGGGCCACCGGGGCUAAUCCCGGCUACUCUAUUGAGCCGCAUGGUUCAAUAGUGCCAGACGGUUUUGCUGUCACGUAUAGAUGUAUCCGCGCCGCAUUAGCUAGUUGGUAAGGUAACGGCUUACCAAGGCGACGAUGCGUAGCCGACCUGAGAGGGUGAUCGGCCACACUGGAACUGAGACACGGUCCAGACUCCUACGGGAGGCAGCAGUAGGGAAUCUUCCGCAAUGGGCGAAAGCCUGACGGAGCAACGCCGCGUGAGUGAUGAAGGUCUUCGGAUCGUAAAACUCUGUUAUUAGGGAAGAACAAAUGUGUAAGUAACUAUGCACGUCUUGACGGUACCUAAUCAGAAAGCCACGGCUAACUACGUG
rnacentral:rRNA from 1 species